rnacentral:rRNA from 1 species
AUGAGAGAGUUGAUAGAAAGAGAGCGAGGUUGUUUGAAGACCUGCGGCAGGGGUGGAGCAAGCUGCGUGGCCCAUGUCCCGGACGAAUGGGCGCUCCUCUCGAGCGUCCUCCUCCCGACGGCAGGACAUGCACGGGGCGGCAGAUCCGGCUGCUCCGGCGUGGAUCCGGCGACGGGGCGGACAGAUCGAGGCGGAGCAGCACGAGGCCGACCGAGAGGUGGCCAGCCGGAGGCGGUCAGAGCUCCAAGGCAGCGGGGGUGCUGCCUGGUUGUUCGGAUCGACGCGGAGGAGCACGAGGCCGACGAAGAGGUGGCCGGCCCGGCGGCGGGCGAUCUCCAAGGUAGCCGGACUGCUGCGGGUUGUUCUUUGGCGACUCCCUUCCCUCGAGAGGAUAAGGAAAAAGCUGAGAGAGAGGAGGAGAGGGGCGGCGGCAGCUGGGGUGGCUCGUGGCAGAGAGGAGCUCCACUCUAG